UGGCACCUUGAUGUCGGCUCAUCACAUCCUGGGGCUGUAGCCGGUCCCAAGGGUUUGGCUGUUCGCCAAUUAAAGUGGUACGUGAGCUGGGUUUAAAACGUCGCGAGACAGUUUGGUCCCUAUCUUCCGUGGGCGCUGCAAGAUUGAGAGAGCCUGCUCCUAGUACGAGAGGACCGGAGUGGACGCACCUCUGGUGUAUCGGUUGUCACGCCAGUGGCAUCGCCGAGUAGCUAAGUGCGGAAGAGAUAACCGCUGAAAGCAUCUAAGCGGGAAACUCGUCUCAAGAUGAGUCUUGCCGGGGCCUAGAGCCCCCUGAAGGGUCGUUCAAGACCAGGACGUUGAUAGGCUGGGUGUGGAAGCGCAGUAAUGCGUUAAGCUAACCAGUACUAAUUGCCCGUGAGGCUUGACC
rnacentral:rRNA from 1 species